rnacentral:snoRNA from 1 species
AUCCUUUUGUGACUCAUAAGCAUGAUGACUGCGCAUUCACAUGUAUGUGUGAUACAUGUGACUG